rnacentral:lncRNA from 1 species
GACAACCGGUUUUCAUCCCCUGUUUUUGGAAAAUUUUUAAUGGAAUUCGGCCGGCCGACGGUGGCCGGCCGGGGUCAAUUCGGCCGAAACGAGUUCGGCCGGAGGUGGGUGAACGGGGGCCGGGCUUCCAGCCCCGGUCUCCCUCUCUUUCCUCCCUUUCUUCCUCUCCUUCUUCUCUUCUUCUUCCUCCGCUCGGCUUGUGACAGUGGGAUGGCCGACGGCGGCGGGCCGAGCGCCGCCGCCGAGGGCCGACCGGAGCCACCAGCCACCCCCCCCUUUUUCCUUUCCCUCUUCUUCUUCUUCUUCUUC